AUCCCGUGGUGAAAGCAUCUACGCAGUAACUCCUUGAAUCUUUCCCAUGCUUCCUACAAGAACUCAUCAUCCAUUUUUUGGAAAGUGGUGAUUUUAUUACGCGGGU
rfam:Gossypium raimondii chromosome 8, whole genome shotgun sequence.